rnacentral:rRNA from 1 species
CUACGGGACGCUCCAGUGAGGAAUAUUGCACAAUGGGCGAAAGCCUGAUGCAGCAACGCCGCGUGGGUGAUGAAGGCCUUCGGGUUGUAAAACCCUUUUCUGGGGGACGAGGAAGGACGGUACCUCAGGAAUAAGCCUCGGCUAACUACGUGCCAGCAGCCGCGGUAAAACGUAGGAGGCGAGCGUUAUUCGGAUUUACUGGGCGUAAAGCGCGUGCAGGCGGUUCUGUAAGUUGGAGGUUAAAUCUCUCGGCUCAACUGAGAGGCGUCCUUCAAAACUGCAGGGCUUGAGGAUGGGAGAGGGAAGUGGAAUUCCCGGUGUAGUGGUGGAAUGCGUAGAUAUCGGGAGGAACACCAGUGGCGAAGGCGGCUUCCUGGCCCAUACCUGACGCUAAGACGCGAAAGCGUGGGGAGCGAACGGGAUUAGAUACCCUUGUAGUC